rnacentral:rRNA from 1 species
UGGGGCUUCCAACCUGCACCAUCAAACUCUCUGACCAUCAAUCAGAAGCUAAGCAGGGCUGGGUCUGGUUAGUGCUUGGACGGGAGACCUCAGGGAACACCAGGUGCCACAG